rnacentral:rRNA from 1 species
CGUUUAGCAUGAGCCCGGUUGGGCAGCUCCUAGUUCAGAUCUUGGUGGUAGUAGCACCUUGUCAGAGCGUUGAGGACAGCGGCGA